AGUGAACGCUGGCGGCGUGCUUAACACAUGCAAGUCGAACGAGAACGGAUUAUAGCUUGCUAUAAUUGUCAGCUAAGUGGCGCACGGGUGAGUAAUGUAUAGGUAAUAUGCCUCUUACUAAGGGAUAACAAAUGGAAACGUUUGCUAAUACCUUAUACUCCUUAUUAACAGAAGUCAAUAAGGGAAAGAUUUAUUGGUAAGAGAUUAGCCUGUAUUGUAUCAGUUAGUUGGUGGGGUAAUGGCUUACCAAGACUAUGACACAUAACUGGUUUGAGAGGAUGAUCAGUCACACUGGAACUGAGACACGGUCCAGGCUCCUACGGGAAGCAGCAGUGGGGAAUAUUGCACAAUGGACGAAAGUCUGAUGCAGCAACGCCGCGUGGAGGAUGACACAUUUCGGUGCGUAAACUCCUUUUAUAUGAGAAGAUAAUGACGGUAUUAUAUGAAUAAGCACCGGCUAACUCCGUGCCAGCCGCCGCUGUAA
rnacentral:rRNA from 1 species